AUUGAACGCUGGCGGCAGGCCUAACACAUGCAAGUCGAACGAGUGGCGGACGGGUGAGUAAUGUCUGGGAAACUGCCCGAUGGAGGGGGAUAACUACUGGAAACGGUAGCUAAUACCGCAUACCAUCGGAUGUGCCCAGAUGGGAUUAGCUAGUAGGUGGGGUAACGGCUCACCUAGGCGACGAUCCCUAGCUGGUCUGAGAGGAUGACCAGCAACACUGGAACUGAGACCCGGUGCAGACUCCUACGGGAGGCAGCAUGGGGGAAUAGUGCACAAUGGGCGCAAGCCUGAUGCAGCCAGGCCGGGUGGAUGAAGAAGGCCUGCGGGUUGGAAAGUACUUUCAGCGAGGAGGCGUUACUCGCAGAAGAAGCACCGGCUAACUCCGUGCCAGCAGCCGCGGGAAUA
rnacentral:rRNA from 1 species